rnacentral:rRNA from 1 species
AGUGAACGCUGGCGGCGUGCCUAACACAUGCAAGUCGAACGAUGAUGGAGGAGCUUGCUCUUCCUGAUUAGUGGCGCACGGGUGAGUAAUGCAUAGAUAAUGUGCCCCUUAGUUCGGGAUAGCCACUGGAAACGGUGAUUAAUACCGGAUACUCCUUCUUAUCAUAAGAUAAGUCGGGAAAGUUUUUCGCUAAGGGAUCAGUCUAUGUUCCAUCAGUUAGUUGGUGAGGUAACGGCUCACCAAGACAAUGACGGAUAUCUGGUUUGAGAGGAUGAUCAGACACACUGGAACUGAGACACGGUCCAGACUCCUACGGGAGGCAGCAGUUAGGAAUAUUGCACAAUGGAGGAAACUCUGAUGCAGCAACGCCGCGUGGAGGAUGACGCAUUUCGGUGUGUAAACUCCUUUUAUUAGGGAAGAUUAUGACGGUACCUAAUGAAUAAGCACCGGCUAACUCCGUGCCAGCCGCCGCGGUAA